rnacentral:rRNA from 1 species
AUGAACGCUGGCGGCGUGCCUAAUACAUGCAAGUCGAGCGAACAGACGAGGAGCUUGCUCCUCUGACGUUAGCGGCGGACGGGUGAGUAACACGUGGAUAACCUACCUAUAAGACUGGGAUAACUUCGGGAAACCGGAGCUAAUACCGGAUAAUAUAUUGAACCGCAUGGUUCAAUAGUGAAAGACGGUUUUGCUGUCACUUAUAGAUGGAUCCGCGCCGCAUUAGCUAGUUGGUAAGGUAACGGCUUACCAAGGCAACGAUGCGUAGCCGACCUGAGAGGGUGAUCGGCCACACUGGAACUGAGACGCGGUCCAGACUCCUACGGGAGGCAGCAGUAGGGAAUCUUCCGCAAUGGGCGAAAGCUUGACGGAGCAACGCCGCGUGAGUGAUGAAGGUCUUCGGAUCGUAAAACUCUGUUAUUAGGGAAGAACAAAUGUGUAAGUAACUAUGCACGUCUUGACGGUACCUAAUCAGAAAGCCACGGCUAACUACGUG